ensembl:lncRNA
GUGACACACAGGGAACUGUAGAGGACGGUGGGGCAGUAGAGAGAACAGGCACAGAGAGAUCCUGGGAGAGACACACAGGGAACUGUAGAGGACGGUGGGGCAGUAGAGAGAACAGGCACAGAGAGAUCCUGGGAGAGACACACAGGGAACUGUAGAGGACGGUGGGGCAGUAGAGAGAACAGGCACAGAGAGAUCCUGAGAGUGACACACAGGGAACUGUAGAGGACGGUGGGGCAGUAGAGAGAACAGGCACAGAGAGAUCCUGAGAGUGACACACAGGGAACUGUAGAGGACGGUGGGG